CAGUCGAACGCGUUGGCCCAAUUGAUUGAUGGUGCUUGCACCUGAUUGAUUUUGGUCGCCAACGAGUGGCGGACGGGUGAGUAACACGUAGGUAACCUGCCCAGAAGCGGGGGACAACAUUUGGAAACAGAUGCUAAUACCGCAUAACAACGUUGUUCGCAUGAACAACGCUUAAAAGAUGGCUUCUCGCUAUCACUUCUGGAUGGACCUGCGGUGCAUUAGCUUGUUGGUGGGGUAAUGGCCUACCAAGGCGAUGAUGCAUAGCCGAGUUGAGAGACUGAUCGGCCACAAUGGGACUGAGACACGGCCCAUACUCCUACGGGAGGCAGCAGUAGGGAAUCUUCCACAAUGGGCGCAAGCCUGAUGGAGCAACACCGCGUGAGUGAAGAAGGGUUUCGGCUCGUAAAGCUCUGUUGUUAAAGAAGAACACGUAUGAGAGUAACUGUUCAUACGUUGACGGUAUUUAACCAGAAAGUCACGGCUAACUACGUGCCAGCAGCCGCGGUAAUACGUAGGUGGCAAGCGUUAUCCGGAUUUAUUGGGCGUAAAGAGAGUGCAGGCGGUUUUCUAAGUCUGAUGUGAAAGCCUUCGGCUUAACCGGAGAAGUGCAUCGGAAACUGGAUAACUUGAGUGCAGAAGAGGGUAGUGGAACUCCAUGUGUAGCGGUGGAAUGCGUAGAUAUAUGGAAGAACACCAGUGGCGAAGGCGGCUACCUGGUCUGCAACUGACGCUGAGACUCGAAAGCAUGGGUAGCGAACAGGAUUAGAUACCCUGGUAGUCCAUGCCGUAAACGAUGAGUGCUAGGUGUUGGAGGGUUUCCGCCCUUCAGUGCCGGAGCUAACGCAUUAAGCACUCCGCCUGGGGAGUACGACCGCAAGGUUGAAACUCAAAGGAAUUGACGGGGGCCCGCACAAGCGGUGGAGCAUGUGGUUUAAUUCGAAGCUACGCGAAGAACCUUACCAGGUCUUGACAUCUUGCG
rnacentral:rRNA from 1 species